rnacentral:rRNA from 1 species
CGCGUAGGCGGUUUGCUAAGUCGGAUGUGAAAACUCUGGGCUCAACCCAGAGCCUGCAUCCGAAACUGGCAGGCUAGAGUUCUGGAGGGGGUAGCGGAAUUCCUGGUGUAGCGGUGAAAUGCGUAGAUAUCAGGAGGAACACCGGUGGCGAAGGCGGCUACCUGGACAGAAACUGACGCUGAGGCGCGAAAGCUAGGGGAGCAAACA